CCCGUCGGUACCAACCCCAGCAAGUAGAAUUGAAGUGGCAGAUGACCUCAAGGCUGACACUCAAUGGCUAGGAACUCUCGGCCGAUCACAAGCUAGCCAAGGAGGUGGAGGGAGGCUGAAUGUCCCACUGUAGCCAAUCACAAUGCUCGCCAUUUUAAGACACUACCAAACGAAGAAGAGGAGAAGGAGGAGGACUGGGAAGAAGACAAGGAACACAGGAGGAACCCAUUGAGAGAACAACAAGAAGAAGAGGAAGAGGAGGAGGAGGAGGAAGAGGAAGAAGAGGAGAACACAGGA